AUUUUGUUAUGUGGACUGUGUGACUUUGCCUUACCUUGCAGUGGCUGGUAACACCCUUACACUUUUGGAGCCACCAGACUAUAAUUCAUUGAGGGAAGCCACAUCUACAGCAGCGGAGUGCACUUCUGCCGAUGAUGAGACCGUGUCGCUGGACUCCAGAAAGCUCGAGGUAUCAUGUCAAUUUUGUGGAAAUAGACUUUUUUUUUUUUUUUUUGAAGUUCACAAUAAUUAAGAAGUCAGGGAAGUGGUACUAAUAGAACAUAUCAUUUGUUACAGGAUCCUGACAUUGGGCAGCCUGAUAAGCAGCCUGGUAACAUAAGUUCACAAACUGUCAGAUAUCUCUACACAACGCAUCUUAAGAGACAGAUCGAGCUGACAGAAGUCAAGAUUGAUGUGAACAAAAGAAAGCUGCAGGACAUGGACCUUGAGAUGCAAAUUAAACGAAAGACACUGAGGAAACUAGAACUGGAAAUCCAGAAACUAGAAAGAGAAGUAAGUGACUUCAGUUCAUACUGUAACCAUGACUGUAACACAAUGUAUUAAUCAUCAUAAUUUU